GUUCGAUGGCCGGGCGACGGGAAAGACUCUUGAAGCUGUCUUGCGACCAGAAGCGGGGUAGGAGGGUCGUGAAGGCUCCCCAGGCAACGAGGAUGGGCCCACCGCAUAGUCCGGGCGCUCCUCAGGUGGUGAGGGUGGAUUCGUCGCCCAGCUCGGGGGCCGCGUCGGAUGAGAUCCCAGAGGUUCAAGAGGUCGAGCCACAUGCCGACCUGAUACAAAGAAAGAGGAACCGGGUGGAAAGCGGGCCGACGGUCGGCGAGGACACCAGCGCCGUCAGGUCCUUCGAGUUCCCCCCUUGCUUCAAAGAGGAGGGUUUCUUCGAGAGAUUCCCUCUGUCCGUGGUUGCCGACGAGGCUGAGACUAUCAAGAGGAUGAGUAAGGAGGAUCGGAAGAGGCACCUGGCCGCCAGCAUGGCCGGGCUGGUGAAAAUGGCCGAAAUGGCCCUGGUGCUGUCCGAGGAAAGGGAGGACCCUGUCCGUAUUGAAGAACUUGAGCAGGAGAAAGCGGCUCUCACCUCGAGCUCGCGGAAGUUAAGGACUGCCCUGGAACGCUCCGAGGAGAUGUUCCGCGAGCAGGCAUCGCUGCUGGCCGCUGAGAGGGAGAUGUUGGUCCUGGAGAAAGAAAAUUCGGGGAAGCUAGCCGAGGAGGGAGAGCUUCUCCGCGCAGACAGGGAUCGUCUGGAGACUGACAUCGGGCGCCUGACCCAACAGAUCGAGGACAUGA